UAGCCCCAUGUUCCCUCCUAUGUUUCUCUUAUCAAAACCCAUCCUUGGGGGAAAAAAAAUCUGUAUCAGUCAUUCACACCUUAGUGUGAAACUCCUUCUAGCAGUGUAAGGAAAUAUUGUAUUUAUUGAAAAGAGUUUUGCAUGCCCAGAAGCCACUGGAGGAGGCAGGAGCCUUCCAGGUGUCCCUGAAAUGCUAGCAGGUGCACCUGUGGCUCCUAAGGCCCUGCUUGCAGGCACGAGAACACCUUGCAGACCCCCAGAGACGCUCUUGCCAUCUUCCUCCCCAGGCUCUGAGAGCAGUACCGAGGCGACGUGACCUCCUUGUGACCACAAAUCCCCACCAGGCUGUCCAGAAGGAAUACAUUCUCCUGACCUGCGGGGCCUGCCAGCGUGCAUCUGGGAUCGGAGCGCACUCUGAAAGCCAGAAGGGGACGAUGAGAGGCAAAGAUGGGAAGUGCAUCACGUGCAACUUCUCUUACAACACAUGCAGGGCCAAGGAGUUGCAGGUACAGAGGAAGUCACGCCUAGGUUUUCUCGCCGCAUCCGUAGCCCUCAAUCGUCCCCGCCUCUCCUCCGCACAGUGGGGAGCCCAGGCCUCUGGAUGCCCGAAGCCAGGAGGGGAUUUUCAUUUCCACCCUGCGCAGCGCCCUCCCCGGAGCCCCGAGCAGAAAGCGGCCCAGGCCCAGCCACUCGAGCGAUCGCAGCCUCACAAGUAUUUCUGUGCCACGAGGAUCCGGUGGCUCAAUAAACAGAAGCCCCCGGGAGGGUCCCCUGUGCUGAAGCUCCCCACGCUGCCCGCCCAGGCCUGGCGAACCCCGGGGCGUUGGCUCCAGCUCUGCAGAGCCGCCCGCUACUCCCCACCCCCCACCCCCCAGCUCUAAGGUCCCAGCAUGAGCAGGCGACUGCAGACACUUCCCAAGACCCUAUUACCAACAUGGUAGUGCACCCCCGGGACUUCUAGCACAAUCUGGCAUGUUCCCUGCCCAUCCUUGCUCUUCCCGGUGUAUCCUGAGGCCAGAACUCCUGUGAAAAUGAGGAAUGUGGCCCUCAGUGAGUUUCUGCUCUUUGAACAUUUCUCCUAAGUAUUUUCCUUGAAAUGUUUCCCAUUUCGAAUUCAAGGUUUUCUUUAAUAUGCGAGCAAAUUUGUAAUAGAUAUAUAUAUAUAUAUUUUUUUACAUAUAGAAUUUUUCAGCUUGUUUGCAGAUAAGCUUCAAGUAGACAGAGCUCAUUUAGCUGGUCUUUUUAAAUUACAAGUCCCUCGGACGGAUUUUGGCAUCAGGGAUAUCAUUUUAAAAGGAAUAUUUGUCUUUAUUGAUUGUACCGAGUGGAAACAAAAGGCCUAUUGGGAAUUUUUUUAAAAGACACAGGCCAAGUAACACAAAAAGGAAGACUUUUUAUUUUAAAUUAUUUUUUAUUUUAUUUUUUAAGAAAAGGAAGUCAUUUUGAACUUCCUAAAGGUCGUGCAGGAAAAAAAAAAAUCACUGUUGAGCUUACUCUUCAAUGGUAUGCACAUAAAGACCAAAAUCCACCCACUGCAAGAACACCUAAAAAUGUACAGAUACACUCAGGAGUAGGAUCAUAGAGAGAGGAGACGUGGGCGGAUCAUGGAGCAAAAGGAGAACAGUGCCCCGUAGAGAAGAAAAGAGUGAAUUAGCAUGAAGGGAGUUCGUGCUGUGAGCCUGGUACUUCUCAAGUCGGCGGUGUAGACGUUAUUGCUUCUACUUCACAUGGAAGGAAACCAAGACCAAGGCCCAGUUAGGUAACUUGCCCGAGGUUACGUGUCUCCUGGGCAACAGAGCUGGGCUCUGAGUCUCGGUCUGCGGGACUCCACAAUAGCCUCUUUUCACAGCAACCCCCAGCUCUGGUCAGUCUCGUGCCCACGGAGUGGCAACAUAGAUGUUUGGGUACAUCUACCUGGGGCAUUUUACACUUCUAGAAAUCCAUGCCAAAGAAUGAGCUAGAAGGAAUACGAUAAAAGGAGGUAGCCAACCCUACGUCCUUAGAUCCAUUUCACACAUGGAGACAAGGUUGGCUACAACAAAUCUUGUUGGAAGAUAUUGAUUUGAUCAGUGCAAUCUUUCAAGACACGAUCCAGGUCUUUAGCAAGAGCCACACUAUUUUUGCAAUCCAUUGAGUGGUGACAGGAGUUCACUUCACACCAUCACAAAUUUCCCACGAGAGCUCACAAAAGCUUGCAGCUUGGGAACAUAUGGGAAAGUGCAAUAUUCUACUCACAGAAUAAAAGUAAUAUGUCACCAUUGCA
rnacentral:lncRNA from 12 species